ACGGAAGGCAGCAGUGAGGAAUAUUGGUCAAUGGUCGGAAGACUGAACCAGCCAAGUAGCGUGAAGGAUGACUGCCCUAUGGGUUGUAAACUUCUUUUAUGCGGGAAUAAAAAGUCCACGUGUGGGCUCUUGCAUGUACCGCAUGAAUAAGGAUCGGCUAAUUCCGUGCCAGCAGCCGCGGUAAUACGGAAGAUCCGAGCGUUAUCCGGAUUUAUUGGGUUUAAAGGGAGCGUAGGCGGGCCUUUAAGUCAGUGGUCAAAGCGUGUGGCUCAACCAUACCACGCCGUUGAUACUGGAGGCCUUGAGUGCACAUAAGGAUGGUGGAAUUCAUGGUGUAGCGGUGAAAUGCUUAGAUAUCAUGAAGAACUCCGAUUGCGAAGGCAGCUGUCCGGGGUGUAACUGACGCUAAUGCUCGAAAGUGCGGGUAUCAAACAGGAUUAGAUACCCUGGUA
rnacentral:rRNA from 1 species